GAUGAACGCUGGCGGCGUGCCUAAUACAUGCAAGUCGAGCGAACGGACGAGAAGCUUGCUUCUCUGAUGUUAGCGGCGGACGGGUGAGUAACACGUGGAUAACCUACCUAUAAGACUGGGAUAACUUCGGGAAACCGGAGCUAAUACCGGAUAAUAUUUUGAACCGCAUGGUUCAAAAGUGAAAGACGGUCUUGCUGUCACUUAUAGCUGGAUCCGCGCUGCAUUAGCUAGUUGGUAAGGUAACGGCUUACCAAGGCAACGAUGCAUAGCCGACCUGAGAGGGUGAUCGGCCACACUGGAACUGAGACACGGUCCAGACUCCUACGGGAGGCAGCAGUAGGGAAUAUUCCGCAAUGGGCGAAAGCCUGACGGAGCAACGCCGCGUGAGUGAUGAAGGUCUUCGGAUCGUAAAACUCUGUUAUUAGGGAAGAACAGAUGUGUAAGUAACUGUGCACAUCUUGACGGUACCUAAUGAGAAAGCCACGGCUAACUACGUG
rnacentral:rRNA from 1 species